GAGUUUGAUCUGGCUCAGGAUGAACGCUGGCGGCGUGCUUAACACGUGCAAGUCGAACGGGCUCAUAUUGAAACCUAGUGAUUUAUGAGUUAGUGGCGGACGGGUGAGUAACGCGUGGAAAACCUGCCGUAUACUGGGGGGAUAACACUUAGAAAUAGGUGCUAAUACCGCAUAAGCGCACAGCUUCGCAUGAAGUGGUGUGAAAAACUCUGGUGGUAUACGAUGGUUCCGCGUCUGAUUAGCUUGUUGGCGGGGUAAUGGCUCACCAAGGCGACGAUCAGUAGCCGGCCUGAGAGGGUGAACGGCCACAUUGGGACUGAGACACGGCCCAAACUCCUAUGGGAGGCAGCAGUGGGGAAUAUUGCACAAUGGGGGAAACCCUGAUGCAGCGACGCCGCGUGAGUGAAGAAGUAUUUCGGUAUGUAAAGCUCUAUCAGCAGGGAAGAAAUAGCGACCUUUGGGUCGCCAGACGGUACCUGAUUAAGAAGCCCGGCUAACUACGUGCCAGCAGCCG
rnacentral:rRNA from 1 species